UGCUACAGGGACUUUAUGAAUGGCAUGUGGGUGUGGGCUUAGCAGCAGACCCCGGGCAGGAGAAGGACCUACUGGGCUCCAGACCUCAGACCUACAGAAGCCAUUGGGCAAAUCCCUCAUGUGCUCUGACUCACCUGAACAAUGCCUGGAACACCUGCUCUCUUCCUGCAUCCAUGGCACCCUCCUGCUGGCAAUGCCAAGGUAGAUGUCAUAGCACCUGGGAGGAGCCUUAGAGGUCAUCUGACUCAACUUUCCAUCCCAAGAAGGGCUCUUUGAACUUGACUUUCAUGUCUUGCUUCUUGGAC
rnacentral:lncRNA from 1 species